CCUACGGGCGGCUGCAGUGGGGGAUAUUGCACAAUGGGGGGAACCCUGAUGCAGCGACGCCGCGUGGGUGAAGAAGCGCCUCGGCGCGUAAAGCCCUGUCAGCCGGGAAGAAAAUGACGCUACCUGAAGAAGAAGCCCCGGCUAACUACGUGCCAGCAGCCGCGGUAAUACGUAGGGGGCAAGCGUUAUCCGGAUUUACUGGGUGUAAAGGGGGCGCAGACGGCGGUGAAAGCGAGGAGGUAAAGCCCGGGGCCCAACCCCCGGACUGCUCUUGGAACUGCAUGGCUGGAGUGCAGGAGGGGCAUGCGGAAUUCCUGGUGUAACGGUGAAAUGCGUAGAUAUCAGGAGGAACACCGGUGGCGAAGGCGGCAUGCUGGCCCGCAACUGACGUUGAGGCCCGAAAGCGUGGGGAGCGAACAGGAUUAGAUACCCCAGUAGUC
rnacentral:rRNA from 1 species